AUGGCGUCGUGCAGCCAGCACCUCCUCUCAGCCGUCGCCAUCUUCUCCGUCCUGGCCGCCGCCGCCACCGCCACCAGUAUGUACACCUGCUACGAAGGGGUGGGCCUCCCCGUGGACCCGCUCCAGGGCUGCCACUACUACGUGACCUCGCAGACCUGCGGCUUCGUGCCGCUGCUCCCAAUUGAGGUGAUGAAGGACCGGUGCUGCCGGGAGCUGGCCGCCAUCUCGUCCAACUGCCGCUGCGAGGGGCUGCGCGUCUUCAUCGACCGGGCGUUCCCUCCCAGCCAAAGCCAAGGCGGUGGCCCCCCGCAGCCGCCGCUGGCACCUAGGUGCCCGACGGAGGUGAAGAGGGACUUCGCCAGAACGCUCGCCCUGCCGGGGCAGUGCAACCUGCCGACCAUCCAUGGCGGCCCCUACUGCGUCUUCCCAUGA
rnacentral:rRNA from 1 species